CCACUGAUCUGCAAAGCCCAUUUUGUUCAUCAUACAACAUAAAAAGUUCCAUUCAACACGAUCAUAUGCUUUUGCCAUAUUAAGUUUUAGAGUUAGAAAAUUAAAUUUCAUUUUCUUAGUUUUAAGAGCAUGCAACAGCUCAUGAGGAAUGGCAAUAUUAUCGUAAAGUCUAAUAACCUAAAUUAUACAAAGUGGGGGCCUGAAAACGAUAAUUAAGUCAUAAAAAUUUUGAACUAGGAAUCGCAUCAAGCCUUGUUAAAAAAAGUUGUGUGACUAAUCACUCCAACCCCCAAAAUUUCCCCUAUUUCCCCACCGUGCGCCCAAUUCUCACACGAUUUUUAAACUUGAAUGCCAAUACUCAAUGGAGAGAGAGAGAGAGAGAGAGAGGACCUGCUACCGAUCGCACCGUCGCCGGCAGUUCAUCUGGACCAUAUCACUUUGUCACCGAUCAAAACAUUAUCGUCACCACGACAAUAAAAAUAAAGACCUUUCAAUAACCCUUAUGUUGGGUCUUCGAUCAACCGUUGGAGAUACUGAGUUUUUUUUGGUGCAAUUAUUUGUUUCUCCUUCUGGUGUCAUAUCUUGAGUCUGUAAUGAUAUAUAUAUUUUUUUAAUUGACAUUUUUUGUUUUUUAUUAGUGAUAUAUUAGAAAUAGAAGCUGUUAUUUUUGAAUUUUCAAAUACACUCGUUCUUUGACUGUCAGAAUUGUGAAUUUUUUUGUGUGUGAAAUUGACAGAGCUUUUCUUCUCACAUUGUGAUACAUUAGAAAUAGAAGCUUUUGCUUUCUAAAUGCUCAAGUAUACUAGUUA